CGUUAUGGUAGAUCGGAUGGGGAGGCGAAAGCCUGCCGUUCCUUUUGACGGUACUGCGAACCUCAUUCGGUCUGCCACCAAG
rnacentral:antisense_RNA from 1 species